AUGGCUGCCUCCUCCUGUUCCCUCCAACCCCGAGCGCGGCGUCUCCACGCUCCACUCGUCGGCGACCACCAGCCCAUGUGCAGAUUGGGCACUACCUGCAGGUGGAGGAGAUGUCGACCUGCAGCAACAAGGGAUCUCGACCUGCAGCUAGCCAAGCGUCGCCACAACAAUCCACACCACCUACAGUCGGCACUGCACACCUGGGCCGUUCAACUUCGCCAUAUAUCAGGUCGUUCAACUCCGCCCCUGCUCCUCGUGGAUGACCUUCAGUCAACGAUGGCUUCUCCUCGGUCCAUGAACGAGGUUGCUCAGUGGCACGCACGAGCCAGGAAGGCUGCAGUUCGGCGGCGCGUACACAUAGCUUGUCUUUGA
rnacentral:rRNA from 1 species